AGUUCGGACUGUAGGCUGCAACUCGCCUACACGAAGUCGGAAUCGCUAGUAAUCGCGGAUCAGCAUGCCGCGGUGAAUACGUUCCCGGGCCUUGUACACACCGCCCGUCACACCAUGGGAGUCGGUAACACCCGAAGCCUGUAGUCUAACCGCAAGGAGGACGCAGUCGAAGGUGGGAUUGAUGACUGGGGUGAAGUCGUAACAAGGUAUC
rnacentral:rRNA from 1 species